rnacentral:rRNA from 1 species
ACGGGUGAGUAGCACGUAUCCAACCUGCCGUCUACUCUUGGACAGCCUUCUGAAGGAAGAUUAAUACAAGAUGGCAUCAUGAGUCCGCAUGUUCACAUGAUUAAAGGUAUUCCGGUAGACGAUGGGGAUGCGUUCCAUUAGAUAGUAGGCGGGGUAACGGCCCACCUAGUCUUCGAUGGAUAGGGGUUCUGAGAGGAAGGUCCCCCACAUUGGAACUGAGACACGGUCCAA